rnacentral:rRNA from 1 species
GAUGAACGCUGGCGGCAUGCUUUACACAUGCAAGUCGGACGGGAAGUGGUGUUUCCAGUGGCGGUCGGGUGAGUAACGCGUAAGAACCUGCCCUUGGGAGGGGAACAACAGCUGGAAACGGCUACUAAUACCCCGUAGGCUUAGGAGCGAAAGGAGGAAUCCGCCCCAGGAGGGGCUCGCGUCUGAUUAGCUAGUUGGUGGGGUAAUAGCUGACCAAGGCCGUGGUCAGUAGCUGGUCCGAGAGGAUGAUCCGCCACACUGGGACUGAGACAAGGCCCAGGCUACCACGCGCGGCAGGAGUAGGGAAUACUGAGCAAUGGGGGAAGGCCUGACGAGGCAAUGCCGCCGGGAGGUAAAAGGCCUACGGGUGAAGAACUUCGUUUCCAGGAGAAGAAACAAUGACGGUACCUGGGGAAAAAGCAACGGCUAACUAUGUG